rnacentral:rRNA from 1 species
ACGCUGGCGGCAGGCCUAACACACGCAAGUCGAGCGGUAGAGAGAAGCUUGCUUCUCUUGAGAGCGGCGGACGGGUGAGUAAUGCCUAGGAAUCUGCCUGGUAGUGGGGGAUAACGUUCGGAAACGGACGCUAAUACCGCAUACGUCCUACGGGAGAAAGCAGGGGACCUUCGGGCCUUGCGCUAUCAGAUGAGCCUAGGUCGGAUUAGCUAGUUGGUGAGGUAAUGGCUCACCAAGGCGACGAUCCGUAACUGGUCUGAGAGGAUGAUCAGUCACACUGGAACUGAGACACGGUCCAGACUCCUACGGGAGGCAGCAGUGGGGAAUAUUGGACAAUGGGCGAAAGCCUGAUCCAGCCAUGCCGCGUGUGUGAAGAAGGUCUUCGGGAUUGUAAAGCACUUUAAGUUGGGAGGAAGGGCAUUAACCUAAUACGUUAGUGUUUUGACGUUACCGACAGAAUAAGCACCGGCUAACUCUGUGCCAGCAGCCGCGGUAAUACAGAGGGUGCAAGCGUUAAUCGGAAUUACUGGGCGUAAAGCGCGCGUAGGUGGUUUGUUAAGUUGGAUGUGAAAUCCCCGGGCUCAACCUGGGAACUGCAUUCAAAACUGACUGACUAGAGUAUGGUAGAGGGUGGUGGAAUUUCCUGUGUAGCGGUGAAAUGCGUAGAUAUAGGAAGGAACACCAGUGGCGAAGGCGACCACCUGGACUAAUACUGACACUGAGGUGCGAAAGCGUGGGGAGCAAAC